ACAGGAGCCCAGAGACCUCGCAGGAGGAAGCAGCAGUAUCUGUGUUCCAAAUCCUGCCCAGCCCCCAGGCAGCCAUGGUAUCUUCUCAGCUGGCUCGAGGGCACACCUCCCAAAAUGCAGAGAAGGCAGGGUGGCUAGGAAUGGCUCUAGUAGAAUUCUCCCCUUAUCUUGUCUGGAAACAAGGGGCAAAGAGCUAUCUAUUUCCUCCUGCCAGCCUCCUGCCCCCAACAGGAUUCCUCACAUCCCAGGACCAGCUGGAAAAGGUGGUGAGAGUUGGAAAGAGACUGCUCAGUGAGGACUGCCCUGCGAACCAGCUUGGAUUCAUCCCGUUCACCUCCACGUUCUGCACUCGGGGCCGAGGGAAGGGAGGCAGCCCAGGCAGCUAGAGAACUUGAUGAAACACACUCAAUCUGAAUCUCGCUUGAUCGUCAUGCUGACCCAGUGAGGUAAGUGAUGGUAUCCCCAUCUCAGAGAUGAGGAACCGGAAACUCAGCGAGGUUAAGUUUCACCUUCCUGAAAAUCGGGCACCCCGUUUCUGUUCCCCAGAGGGAGCUCAAUUCAAAGUCCCCAAAGAACAGGUCUUCUGUGAAGACCUGUUCUCCCCUCACAACCCCGUUGGAAAAAGCAGUGGGAGCGACCCAGGGCGGACCCUCUGGCCCAGGCUUGUGGGUUGGGGGGCAGAGGGGCCUAACUGGGUGGCCAGGUGGCCCGCAGAGUCUCUCCAGCAGCAGAUGGCCUCCCCAGCCCUUUCCUUCAGAGCCUAUUAAGCAGUCAAAUGGGGGAGGGUUGGCCCCCAAGGCCAGGGACCCAGCAGCAGCAGCAGCUCACAGCACUGGAGCCGUUAAAAAGUGACUCAACCAGAAAGUGCGUUUGAAGUGACGCCCGCCAGGGCCCCAGAGCCCCAGAGCCCCAGAGCCAAACCUCAAAAAGACGAAGUGAGAGAGACAGGCCUGCGGGGGCUGGGCCGGGGGUGGAGACCCAGCCUGGAGCUGGCCUGGCCAAAUAAGGGCAAAUGCACUAGGGCGGGCCAAUGGGGCAACAGCGGCUGGCUGCGUCAUGGGGCUGCGGCUCUGGGGAGGGGGAGGUGAGAAGCCUGGGACAAAAUGGGGGUGGGUGUCAGGGGUCCCGGCACCUCUUCGAGGGGUCCCAGGGUGGGUGAACACAGGAGGCAUGGAAGCCCUCACCCCCAAGGAGCCUUUGUUACUAAGGUCAGUGGACCUGCAACCCCAGAGCCCCACCUGCAGGCUGGAUGGGGUUCAAGGAAGAAAAAGGGAAACCUGGAGGACCCCCAUGCCCCUGCCCCAGUUAUGGGCCCUGGAUCCCCAUCUGCCAUGGAGAACUGAAGGGAGGCCAUAGGGACAGCAGCGUUGUGCAAGGGGAAAGGCUGAAGCACCAGUGCAGCUUCACCAGGCCACUGACUGUGGGCGAGAGAUGUAAUGGAAACUCAGUUUUCUCAUCUGUGAAAGGGGAAUAAUAUUGCCUCGUGGGAUGGCACUGAGGGUCAAAUGCAAUAAUAGAGGUGGCCCAUUUUGAACCUGGAAAUUGCCAUAGGGAUGUAAUAGAUGAUUAGUGUAGAGGCACAAGGCCAAAGGCUGCUUCUUAGAUUCUUGUUUCCAGGUGCUAUAAACGAUCCCUUUGCAAGGAUAUCAUGUGGUUCUCAAUUUUGGCCCCUGGUGUCUAGAACAAGGUAGGGGGAGGUGCCAAGGCCAGAGGGAUUCCUGAAUCUUAGUCCCUAAGCAAAAGCAGAAGAGACUGAUGCCUGCCUGCCUCCAGCUGAUUCCCCAGGGACAUACCCCCCUUCAUUUCUCCUGCAUCUCCUCACCUUCCAUGAAUCCAGACCAUGCCCCACCCCUCCUCCUGAGACCCCGCCCUCCAUCUCCCGGCCUCUCUGGGGUGCAGGGCAGAGGAAGUGAGUCUACUCAGCUGACCAGAGAAAGUGCUGCAGCUGCCUGCACAGGGUGGGCCGACUGCUGUCUUGUUCAGUGCCUGUGAUAACUCCCUUGCCUCAGGCCUCUCCAGCCCCUGCUGGGACCACUGGCCCAGGAGGAAGUCUGGGCUCUGGCUGCCACCUGCUUCCUCUCAGGAGUUCUUCUCCCUCCCAAGCAUGGAUUUGCAUUUCCCCCUCUGCCUUCUGCUACUCAAGCCCCCAGGGAUGAGGUGACAGUUAACCCCCCACUUCCUGCUAGUGGCCCCAGAGCGCUCACUUCCUUCCAGGUAUUUUCCGGGAUGGGGGAAGGGGUUGAAAGGGUGGUAGUUGCUGGGUUUGGAAAGGGGAUGAGGGAUCCAUUUUGGAGAGAAACUGAGGUCCCCCUACCCUGCUGUCUGAAGCUGCUCCUUCCCUUCCCUCACGCUCACUCUGUAACACAAGAGCUCAGUUUGCAGGAAGAAGAGUGCAUAGGCCGGAAGCAGCACACAGGGGCUUUCAAAAUGGGCUAGGCCAGCUCUCUCUUAGAGGCCCAGGCCUCUAUCCGCCAUAGAUAGACCCCCAAGGAAAGUUCCUUGGACUUCAAGUUCCCUAUCGGGACAACAUAAUGUCUGCCCUCUACCCGGAAGGCAGAGGGUUGAGAAUGGGGGAGUGCCAAGGCAUAGAGGGGAAAUGUUUUCCAUCCUAUUUCUCAGAGGAUCUGGCAUGCUGGUACCAGCAGCACAAGGCAGAGUGUUCUCUGCACUCAGUUCCCGCUUCCUGGGAUCUUAUGGCAGAGAAACACAGCAUCUUUAGACAAGAGGUACUGAGCUAGGCAGUGUAGGACAUACAAAGUAGCAGCGACCCGCUCCUGAAGUCAAGCUGACCAGUCUCUGGGGCUCAGUCCUCUCCUCUAAAAAGUGAGGGGCUGGCCUAAGUCAUGACUCCCCCAGUCCUAAUGUUCUGUGGUCUGCCUUCACUCCUCUGUAGACUCUGCAUUUCACCUUCCCACUGGUGAAGGCCUCGAAACCCCAAGACUGAGGCAGGCAGCCAUGUGCUCUUCUCCCCAGUCUAAACCUUAUUGGUGCAACCUAUAGCAAUUUUUACCAAGUGUGGCUGUCUGUUCUCCUAGGUCAGACAAGACUGGAAGGGGGACAGCCACACAUGAGCAACAGAAGUGACAGCUGACAGGUUGCUAUGAAUCCAAGAGGUAGAAAAAGAGUCAGUCCCGGAACCAUUUCACCACAUGAUACAAAAAUGGAGGUUUACAACAAUGACUUUGAACCAAAUCAGGUUAAAUCACAUUCAGAAUCUUGUAUCCAAAUAGCAAGGAAGUAUAUAACACAUUUUUAAAAAUUUAAGCUAGGUGUAGUGGCACAUGCCUGUAGUCCCAGCUACUUGUGAGGCUGAAGCGGGAGAAUCUCUUGAGCCCAGGAAUUCAAGGCCAGUCUAGGCAACAUAGUGAGACCCUGUCUAAAAAAAAAGAACCACAGAAAAACAAACAAAAAAACAAAAAAAAAACCCAAACCAAACUUUAUCUUAUAAAAAACGAGAACAUAAAGAUUAAAAUUUUAAAAAAACCUUGGCCAGGCACAGUGGCUCACGCAUAUAAUCCUAGCCUUUUAGGAGGCUGAGGCCGAAGGAACACUUGAGGCCAGGAAUUUGAAACCCUGUCUCUACAAAAAAUACCAAAAAUACCCCCAAAAUGAGCUGGGUGGAGUGGUGCGCACCUGUAUUGUUAGAUACUCUAGGAGCUGAAGUGAGAGGAUUGAUUGAGCCCAGGAGCUGGAGGCUUCAGUGAGCUACAAUCGUGCCACUGCGCUCCUGCCUGGGAAACAGAACAAGACCCUGUCUUUGGAAAAAAAAAAAAAAAAAAAAAGCCCUGGUGCUUGAAGGAAAAUGUUUCUGUUUUGAUUCAGUUUUGAUGUAUUUAUGUAUGAUAUAUGUGGUGGAACACCUAUUACCAUUACCCAACAAUGCUGGAAGGAUGAAAUUCUUGUCACACCUAUCUAGAACUUACCUAGAGAUAGGCAACCUUGGAUAAUGACAAUUCCUUACAUAGUUUACAACUCUCAAAUUGCUUUUGCCUAAAUUAUUGUAUUUGAUUUUUUUUUUUUUUUUUUUGAGACAGGGUCUUGCUCUGUUGCCCAGGCUAGAGUGCAGUGGCACAACUGGGACUCACUGCACCCGUGACCUCCUGGGCUCAAGUGAUCCUCCUGCCUCAGCCUCCCAAGUAGUUGGGACUACAGGCGUGUGCCACCACGCCCAGCUAAUUUUAAAAAAAUUUUUAGUAGAGACAGGGCAUCGCCCUUUGCACAGGCUGAUCUCAAACUUCUGAGCUCAAGCAAUCCACCUGCCUCAGCCUCCCAAAAUGCUGGGAUUACAGGCGUGAGCCACCACACCCAGCCAAAGCAAACUUUUUAUUUGAAGUAUAACAGUGAACAAAUCCUAAGUAUAUAACAAUAUAUUUCCAGAAAGUGAACUGACCUACAUAACUAGCAUCAAGAUCAAGAUAAAAGGCCGGACGCAGUGGCUCAUGCCUGUAGUCCCAGCAGUUUGGGAGGCCGAGGUGGGUGGAUGGCUUGAGCCCAGGAGUUCGAGACCAGCCUGGGCAGCAUGACAAAACCCCGUCUCUACCAAAAUAUAAAAAUUAGCUGGAUGUGGUGGUGGAUGCCUGUAGACCCCGCUACUUGAGGCACUGAGGUGGGAGGAUCAACUGAGCCCAGGAGGUUGAGGCUGCAGUGAGCCAUGAUCAUGCCACUGCACUGCAGUCUGGGUGACAAAGUGAGACCCUGUCUCAAAAAAAAAAAAAAAAAGUGAAAGAAAAUAAAAGAAAGAAAGAAAGGGAAGGAAGGGAGAAAGAAAAGAAAGAAAAAGGAAGGAAGGAAGGAAGGAAAGAAAGAAACAAAAUAUAACCAGCACCUUAGGUGCUUCUCAUGCCCUCCUCCACCACCACCUAUCACAGCUAACCACGAUCCUGCCCUUAACAUCAUAGUUUUGUCAACUGCACUUCCUAGACAAGAAACUUCAUUUUAGAGGUGACUUGGGAAAGUCACAGGGUUGGUGGCUGGUGGAGGCAGCAGGGCCAGGACUCUGCCCUUAGUUAGAUACAUGUAUUUUCAUCGCACAAGUCUCAGUGUUCCAGUGGGGUGUGACGGUGCCAUCAUCAGUCUGCAGAUUGAGGGAGGUGAGGAGGAAAAAGAGAGGUUGGGAGGUGUGGGGCACACAGGUCAGCAGGUGCGUAAGAGCUGCUGGAGUGGAAUAGAAGAUGCAGCCAGGGGUAACUCAUGAAGGGCUAGACUGGUUUCCCAAUGCUCUGCACAGGAAUCCUUGAGUAAAUCCCAAGGAUCCCCUCCCUGGGCCAUUGCCCCACUGCCUCCAUCUCUUUGGCUAAUUUUAGACUUAGGGACUAGAGUGGUGGGAUUAGAGUGGUUGGUGGGCUCAACGUGUAGGGACAAUGUGUUGUAAUAACUUCACUCAGAAGAAAGCUAAUGCCUCACACUGGUUCUGUUGAACACUUAUGGAGGGAAAAAAACUUGCUGUGUUUGUGGACAACUAUGUCACAAACAGUUAGUAGCCCUAAACUUAGUGUGGACAUUAUAUUUCUUGAGCUGAGGCUCCACUACUUGAUUAUGGCUAAAACACUUUUAACUCUUUUCUUCCCCACCCCGAGACAGAGUCUUGCUCUGUCACCCUAGCUGGAGUGCAGUGGCACGAUCUUGGCUCACUGCAACCUCCGCCUCCCGAGUUCAAGCACUUCUCCUGCCUCAGCCUCCCAUGUAGCUGGGAUUACAGGCGCCCGCCACCACACCUGGCUAACUUUUUAUAUUUUUAGUAGAGACGGGGUUUCACCAUCUUGGCCAGGCUGGUCUUGAACUCCUGAUCUCAUGAUCCACCCACCUUGGCCUCCCAAAGUGCUGGGAUUACAGGCAUAAGCCACCGUGCCCAGUCAAGACACUUUAACUCUUUGAGUCUCAGUCUCCUCAUCACCAAAUAAGGAUGUUAACUAGUUCCAGGGUUUCUGUGAGAAUCAAAUGAGAUACUGGAUAUGAAAGCCCUUUGUCAACUGUAUUUGGGUUUGUUUUGUUGUUUUCUGAGACACGGUCUCACUCUGUCCCCCAGGCUGGAGUGCAGUGGCGCCAUCACGGCUCACUGCAGCCUCAAACUCCCAGACUCAAGGGAUCCUCCCACCUCAGCCUCCCAAGUAGCUGGGACUACAGGUGUACACCACCAUGCCUAGCUAAUUUUUUGUAGAGAUGGGCUUUUGCCAUGUUGCCCAGGUUGGUCUUACACUCCUGGGUUCAAAGUGAUCUGCCCGCUUUGACCUCCCCAAGGUGCUGGGAUUAGAGGCAUGAGCCACAGCACCCAGCACCUUUGUCAACUGUAAAAAUAUUUACAUGAAAGGCUUUACUGAUACUAAACAUGAACCAGACUUCCAGACAAAGUUAUUAUUAGUCUGUUCUUAAACAUGACCUACCUGCCUCUUUCAUAGAGACCAGAUGUCAGGGAGGGGACCUGAGGAUCAAGUAGCAGGCUGCAGACAGACUAGGAGUAACAAGGCAGAAGCCACACCAAGAGCAAAGCCUCAGUUCCCAACCCUGGUGAAACUGCUCCCCUCCAAGACCAGACCAUCCUGACCCUUGCUCUAUCAGCUACCAGUCCUUUCUUGAGCUGGAGGCUGCAUUAUCAAUGCACUGCCACUGAGCUCCUCAGUGUUCUGGGAGACCCUAAUUCCACAGUAUGUGGCAGGGAGGAAGCAGGGAAUGAGGCAAGGGCAGGCAAGGGGAAGGCAGCCUGGCUACUAUUCCUAGUCUCUGUCUGACUUGCAUCUGUCCUUGUUGAGCUAGGGAGGAGGCUUGCUCUUCAGGAGAGAAGCCAAACUACUGAGCAAGACAAGGAGAGAUCUUAAGAUGCUAUGCACUCAGAACUUCGGCAGCCAGGACGGGACUGAAACUCUGACAGACACAAUGGGCCAAUGGGGCAGGACAUAGCUCUCAUGGCUGCCCUCAUAGCCAUGGAAAGCAGGGCAGCAGUACCAGGACCGCCCACUCCCAGGGAGCUGUGAACCAAGUCCUUGUCUUAGUUUCUUUGGGUUCCCAGUAGAGGAUGGGACUCCAGCACCUUUCUGCCUGUCUGGGUUGCUGAGUGGCACCACCUGCAUGUUCAAGUACCAGAGAAAGCAAGAAAGCUAAUUCAGCAGCAGCUCCCGGGGAGAGCCCACUUGGCACAGUCUGUAGAGUCCAGGAAGGAAAACAGGCCACCCUUCCCCCACAAGCAUCAAUGCCUAUGCUAUGUCUUUUGCUUCCUGUGAGACUGUCAGUUAGGGCCCAGUUCAGUGUAGGGCUGAGGCAGCCUGAAUGUGGUUAUUUGUGCAAGCUCCUCUUGCCUCCCCUCCCCACAACUGUUUCCAUUCUCACCAAGCAGCCACGUCCGGGUCAGACACCCAGGACAGCAGCUGGGGCUUUCCAAGGGACUUUUUGAGAAGCUAGUGAAAGUUGGGUGUUGGCUGCACAGCCUGGGCACUUGCUGAAACGCACUUCUUCCAUCCAGGACGUAAGCUCUAGCCUGGCAGGGUUGCUUUCAGGUUGAAAUUGAACAGAAAUCACCACCCACGGAGCUUUCUGUUUGCUGGGCUGGGGAAAUCCUUGAGAAACUCAGUUUGGAGUUGGGGUUAUCUGACCAUUCCCUCAGAGCUUGAAGGCACCAGAGAAAAUGGUUUUGGUUUGAAGACCAUAGUGGACAUGAGCAGCCCGGCCAGUCCCAGUUUCCCUCCCAUAGGCCUAUGUGAGGACAAGGAAGGGGAGUAGACAAACUAAUCAGAGUCAGGUCGCAUCUCUCCUCCUUCCCACACUCUCCAGGCCACAGGUAACAAGCAAAAUCAACUCAAGAGCAACACCAGGUGGCUGAGACACAAAGCCCUAGCACAGGCAGCUCUGCCCUAGCACAGCACAGCUCACCCUGCAGUUGUGGUUCUCAGCAUUUCCCCUACUAUUUUGGCUGAUUGUGCACAUAUUCUAUGUAUUGAAAAAUGGCCCAAAAAGGAGAGCAAAAGUAUUUCACCUUUAUAAUACUUAUAUAAUUUUCACAUAGCUUCGUUUCUACAAUCACAACAAUCCUGAGGUAAACAGGCAGGGUGCAAUCAUUCUCUUUUUAGAGGGAGAACAAGGAACUUAGGGAAAUCAAAAUGGGGAUACGAACAGGAUUUCUGUGGAAAUUUAAAUGAGAAUUUGUGGUAAAUUUUUUUAUCCUAAAACAACUCACCUUGGCCGAAAAAUGGGAUGUUACCCAAGGUCCCCUACUAGGCCGGAGGAGAAAAGGACCUACCUCCUACAGGGGCACAAACAAGGGAGACUAGGACUCAAUGGUCGCCCAAGGCCCAAGGGUCUCCAGUGAGUGCUUGAGACUGGCCUAAGGUAUAGGAAGAGCCGUGAAGAGAAGAAAAUAGACAAGCAGGGGAGGGAAGAAUUAUUAAACAUGGUCAAGGAGCACUCUACAAAGCCUCAGGAUUUCUUCAAGGGAUACUGCUGUGCCAGGUCUCGAGGGCAGAAGGAUACAAGUGUGAGACACCAGGGCCACCAAGUUGAUGGGGUUACUGAGCCUCUGGAUCAGCACCCUCCGAUAGGAAGCAAGGAAGCACACUACAAAGGCUGCAAUCCCAGAGGCUGAGACAGUCAAGAGGGAGUAGAAGGGCCUCUGCUGCUCUGGGAAGGUUCUUAUAGGGCAAAUAAGCUAUUACUGUGCCUAAGAGAAUGGAAGAGGGAGGCAAGGCAGGUGUCAUGGCCUUCAGAACUUUCUCGAGGUUCAUAUUUAUUGACAUUUGACCUAGAGUCCUUGGCAUGGGGAAGGCACAGACCUGGGCCACGGGUAGGAAAAUCAGCAUCCUACUCUCUCCUCAAUUCCAUCUGUUAAUCCACCAACCCAAAUCCCUCCCACCCCACCUGUAGUCCAAAGAAGAUAAAAUGAUAAAAUGAUGUGCUGCUCUCUCAACAGUCAGCUGAGUCUGAAUUGGAGGGUAGGAAGUAUUUGAAGUUCUGUUCAUUUAGUUCCAGAACAAGAAAUAAGCAGAGGCAGGAGGUGGAGAGCAAAGAUGCUGGCAGCCUUGCAUCUUGCUAGGUCUUUAUAGCUGUGUCUCUGGAUUUGUAGGCCACUCCUCGACUUUUCAGCUCCCGCACGAUUCCUGAAGCAGGAAAAGAAACAGUUCUGUGAGGUAAGAUUCAGAAGGGUAAGAUAGGCCACUCAGCUGCCACCUUGAGGGGGGUACUAUAAGCAAACUGGAGUUCCUAGACUACUUAUCAAUCGUCUGCUUGGCCAGGCACGGUGGCUCAUGCCUGCAAUCUCAGCACUUUGGGAGGUCAAGGUGGAUCACUUGAGGUCAGGAGUUCAAGACUAGCCUGGGCUACAGAGCAAGGCCCCAUCUCUACAAAAAAAUUUUAAAAAUUAGCCAGGUGUAGUGGCUUGCACCUGUAGUGCCAGCUAUUUGGGAGGCUGAGGCGGGAGGAUCCCUUGAAUCCAUGAGUUCAAGGCUGCAGUGAGCUCUGAUAAUGCCACUAUACUUCAGCCUGGGUGACAGAGACUCUGUCUCAAAAAAAAAAAAAAAAAAAAAGGUCCUGCUUAGUUGACUCAUUACUAGUGAAGACCCAGGCAGGUAUUCGGUAAGAAUGAGAAGAAAAAGAGGGAUACAUGUAGUCAUCAAAAGCAAAGGUUCUAAGCCAAGCACCUGUAGUCCCAGCUACUCAGGAGGCAGAGGUGGGAGGAGCACAUGAGCCCAGGAGUUAGAGUCCAGCCUGGGCAACAUAGUGAGACCUUGUCUCUAAAAAAAAUAAAAAACAGAAACAGCAAAAAUUCUGGAGCCAGAAUGCCUGGAUUCCAAUCCUGGCUCCUCAUUUACUACCUGGUGACCUCCAGCAAGUGAUUUAACCUCUCUGUGCCUGGUUCCCCCCAUCUGUAAAAUGCUGAACCUCAUAGAAUGUGAGAAUUGGCAUUAAUUCAGAUAAAAAAACUUCCACAGAGCUUUACAGUAAAUGAACAUUGGCUGUUAUGAUUAUUAUUACCUUGGGGCAGGCGACCAGUGACUGACACCGCAUAUACACCUGGCUUAAAGUUACCUGAGAGAGAAGAAAAAAGAUACAAGAUUACAGUGAAGUUAGUUAAGACUCAAGAUCAAAUGGAAGCUUAAGCUAAAGAAGUGAUGCAACUCCAAGAGAAGAGCUAUUCCCUCUUUUGGCUACAAGUGUUAAAUGACAAGGCACAGGACACUGCUUCCCUGUGUUUCCUACAACCCGAUCUUUCCCACCCUGAGGUCACUCAUCUUGCUGAUUUGAGACUCCCUAAUGGACCUGAGGAACAGUAACAACACUACAACUAAGCCAAAAGGAGACAGGCCAACACUUACUGACUCGCUGCCACUUGGAGACCCAGCUGUCCUCUGGACUCAUCAUCGCAAUGAUUCUAGGGAGGGAAAAGAAAUGGAGAGUCAGCCUGAGCCUCCCUGGGCCUGAGCUCAAUUCUGAGAGAGGAAUCUAGGAAAAAGCCAAGUACCGAGUCUCCACUGGAAAGCUGGCAAAACUGCCUUCUGAUGUUGGGAUGAGGCUGACUCAAAGCUAGGACUGACAAAAGUUCUUCAUUCUUAUGUCCUUGGCCGGCCAGCCACAGGUCAGUUUCCAUCCCCAAAAGAUUAUCUCACUCAGCUCACAAACAUCCUUAGCCUAACAUUCCCUAGAAAAUGAGACGGCUUUAGGACAAGGGGUCCAAUAGUUACAACUAACACAACUACAAGGGGUCUAGGGCCUAGUGCAAAGAGGAGGGUGAGUGAAAACAACGGAUCCUCCUACUAGAAAGGAGUUCAACUUGGCUAAACUUUUCCUCUUAAUGACCUAUACAUAUGGGGACCCCUCUAAUGACCUAUACAUGUGGGGUUCCCUUCUCAGAACCUCAUCAGUAAGCUGAGACUCAAAGGUUGAGAUAAUACAUGAAAAACACCUAGCACAAAGACUAGCACAGAGUAGGUGCUAAAUAAGCAUUAGCUCUCCUCAUUAUCCUAAUAGUCCUUCCCAGGUAGCUGUGAUUCCAGAGGAAUGGUAAGGCUAUUCAAGGGCUAGAAGAUGCUGCUUGAGCAAGAUGGGUAAGCAUUUUUGUCAUUCAACGCAUUCAAUCAAAUGCUUACUGACUGCCUAUUGUGUGGGUGUAAGCACUGACAUUUGUUGACUGCCUCAAUAUGCCUCCCCUCUUCUCUCAGUAACAAUCUUGGAUUCUUAUUUGAGAAGAUUCCCUUCCCAUCCAAAUCCUACAUUCUCAGCCAUGCGCUGUUAAGUGGAACCGACCCUACCUCCAGGGGUGACAAGCAGAACACUAGCCCCCAGCCCUGCAGCCUGAUGGGAGAUAGGCAUGUAUGCAGGCCAUCCUCCUGACCACAAGUAUAUUCUUCUCUGUCCUUUGCAAUCUAUCUUUUUAGCCUUAGGGUCCCUACAGCCCAACCUUAUGAUUUAACCUAAACAGAAUUCCCACUGUUCUCCAAAAACAUCCUGGUUUUUCCCAUCCUAAGCCUUUGCUCUAGUCACUCCCUUUAUUUGGAAUGUUCUCUCUCUCUCUCACCUCAACUUCCUCAAAAAUCCCAAACUUCUUGCCUUAAGAGGAAAGUACUACCUCUUCCAAUUCUGGUUGAGGUCAUCUAGCCCUCUUCCGAUCUUUAAUUUGCCCACUCUUUAAGACCUAAUAUGCACUAGAAUUAUACAAAUAAUUCCUACAACCUAACAACAAAAAAACCAAACUGAAGUCAAAAAUGAGCAAAGGCCUUGAAUAGGCAUUUCUCCAAAGAUAUACAAAUGGCUAUAAGCACCUAAGAGGCUCAACAUCACCAUUCAUUGGGGGAAAUGGGACACCAAAGUCACACCCAUCAGGAUGGCUAUUAUUAAUAAAUAAUUAAGUGUUGGUGAGGAUGGGGAGAAAUUAGAACCUUUGGGCACUGUUGGUGGGAAUGGAAAAUGGUGCAGUUGCUAAACAGUAUGACAGUUCCUCAAAAAAUUAAACACUGAACUAUCAUAUGAUCUAGCAAUUUCACUUGUGGAUAUACAGAUGAUCCCUGACUUACCUUAGUUCAACUUAUGAUUUUUCAAAUUUAUGAUUUUGCAAAAGUGACAUGCAUUCAAUAGAAAUCGUUUUCAAAUUUUAAAUUUUGUUCUUUUCCAGGCUAGCAAUUCAGUACAAUAUUCUGUCAUGAUGCUGCGCAGCAGCCAUGAGCCACAGCUUCUGGUCAGCCACAGUAACAUAAGCGUUCUGAGCACAUUUGAAGUAGGCUAACUUAUUAUAUUCAGUAGGUUGGGUGUGUUAAAUGCACUUUUGGCUUAUAUUUUCAACUUAUGAUGGGCUUAUUAGGUUGUAACUCCUCGGAAGUUGAGGUGCAUCUGUACUGAAAAUAAUGAAAAGCAGGGACUUGAACACAUAUUUGUAUACCAAUGUUCACAGCAGUAUUAUUCACAAAUAGCCAAAAGGGAGAAACAACCCAAGAUAUCAUUGAUGAAUGAAUGGGCAGCAGAACAUGCUAUACACAUACAAGGGAAUAUUAUUCAGCUCAAAAGAGGAGGGAAAUUCUGUUGCAUACUACAAUAUGAAUGAACCUUGAAGACAUUAUGUUGGUGAAAGAAGCUAAAAAAUGCUACUGAAUGAGCCCAUAGGUACCUAAGGGUGCCUAAGGUGGCCAAAUUCAUAGAGACAAAGCAUGGUGGUUGUCAGGGACAGGAGGGAGGAGAGAACGAGGAGCUAGUGUUUAAUGGGUACAGAUGAAAAAAGUUCUGGAGAUGGAUGGUGGUGACGGUUGCACAACAGUGAGUAUGCACUAAUGCCACUGAAUUGUGUAUUUAGAAAUGGCGACCGGGCACAGUGGCUCAUGCCUGUAAUCCCAGCACUUUGUGAGGCUGAGACGGGAGGAUCACCUGAGGUCAGGAGUUCGAGACCAGCCUGGCCAGCAUGGCAAAACCCUGUCUCUACUAAAAAAAGUACAAAAAUUAGCUGGGCGUGGUGGUGGGCGCCUGUAAUCCCAGCUACUCAGGAGGCUGAGGUAGGAGGCGGAGGUUGCAGUGAGCUGAGAUCGUGCCAUUGCAGCCGGGCGCUGUGGCUCACUCCUGUAAUCCCAGCACUUUGGGAGGCCGAGGCGGGUGGAUCACGAGGUCAGCAGUUCAAGACCAGUCUGACCAACAUGGUGAAACCCCGUCUCUACUAAAAAUACAAAAAUUAGCUGGGUAUGGUGGCAGGUGCCUGUAAUCCCAGCUACUCAGGAGGCUGAGGCAGAGAACUGCUUGAACCUGGGAGGCGGAGGUUGCAGUGAGCCGAGAUUGCGCCACUGCACUCCAGCCUGGGCGACAGAGCGAGACUCCAUCUCAAAUAAAUAAAUAAAUAAAUAAAUAAGUAAAAUGGCUAAAAUGGGCCGGGCAUGGUGACUCAUACUUGUAAUCCCAGCACUAUGAGAGGCCGAGGUGGGCAGAUCACCUGAGGUCAGGAGUUUGAGACCAGCCUGGCCAACAUGGUGAAACCCCGUCUCUACUAAAGAUAUAAAAAUUAGCUGGGAGUGGUGGUGGGUGCCUGUAAUCCCAGCUACUCAAGAGGCUGAGGCAGGAGAAUUGCUUGAACCCAGGAGGCAGAGGUUGCAGUGAGCCGAGACUGCACCAUUGCACUCCAGCAUGAGUGGCAAGGGCGAAAAGUCUGUCCAAAAAAAAAAAAAAAAAAAAAGCAACAGCUUUUGGGCAAUGAUCUACCAUUACUACACCUCCCUUCCCUUCAUUUUCAAAAAAAAUUUUCAUGCAUUUAACAAACAUUAUUAAGAUUACAUUCUUUCUUCUCAUGUUAAGUCUUUGAAAUCUGGGGUAUAUUUUAUACUUAAAAGCAUGUCUUAAUUUGGACUAGACACAUUUCAAGUGCUCAGUAGCUACACGUGGAUAGUGGUCACUGUAUUAGAUGCAUAGCACUAGUAUGUCCCAAAAUAACUGUUGAGGCUGGACACAGUGGCUUACACCUAUAAUCCCAGCACUCUGGGAGGUUGAAGUCAGAGGAUCAUUCCACGCUGCAGUGAGCUAUGAUCAUGCCACUGCACUCCAGCCUGAGCCACAGAGCAAAACCCUGAUUCAAAAAAAAAAAAAAAAAAAAAAACCCACACAAAAUAACCCCCAAAAACGAAUGGCUGGGCCCAACUAGGAUUAACACUUGCCCUGCAUUUACUUCUCUGGGUGCAGGUUGGGUAAUGCAGAAGUGAAUGAUGGAAACUGAAGCGGCUUACCCAUCAAAGGAAGAGCUAGUGCAGUCAUAUACCAUCUCUCGGUUACCCUUCAUUUGUAGAUAUGCAUCACAAUUGUCACAACCAUCAUAUUCAAACUGGUCUAUAGUCUGGGAGUGAAAGAAAAAUAAAGGAAAAGGAGAGAUAAGCAUGAACAAGACCAAGAGAAAAAGUAGCUUUCUCAAUACUUCGACCUGCUCAAUUUCUUGUUUCCCUAUGUUGACUGUGUAUCCUAAGGUUCCCCACCUACUACUCUCAAAGCUUCAUUCCUAAGUCCCACCCUCCCACUCCUUCCUCUCUCGUUCCCAAUUCCGUUUUAUCUAUUCCUUUCUCUAGUCUACUCAGGGUCAGGCAUCCUUUCCGACUACUCACUCAGCAGCGGAUCCCCACCCGCCUCUGACUCCCAGUGUCUUUCGGCUCCAACGUAAGUUCACCGAACGUCUAAGAGCUGAGGAUUCAAAGGCAUGUAAGACCGCCCCUGCCCUCAGCUGCAAGACCUGUCCGCGAUCCUACGAGGUAAACGAUGGCCUCCUUCGGCUUCUCACUCCCCCUGCCACCUCUGAGUUCUGAGACUUAACUUUUCUCUUUACUGUCCCACAGCCCCAUUCCGCCCUCUUUCCCCGACCUUGGUCCCCCAUGGGCCCUACAACCAGGUCCCCGACUGACACCUUGACCAGCGAACACAGCAAACAGGCCCGCAGAUGCCGCAGGUCCUUCGGCACCGUCUCCAGGGCCAUCUUCGCCGAUGGGAAGAACAACAGGGAGAUAGACGACCACAGCCUGUGCACCCGCAGGAAGUAAAUAGCUCGUUACCCAGAAUGCCCACCACUUCCGGCGCUUAGACUUCCUCUUCCGGUGUGGGCGGACGCCAGCUCCGCCCCUACCCCCGCCAGAGGAGAUGGUUUCUCCCGCCAGCAGGCGGGGAGGCUGGGCGGCCGGCCGCCACCUGGGCCGGAGCGCGUCGCAGCCACCUGAGCCCGCCGAGGGCGCGGCGGAGGCUGUGUGGGGUAGUCAGCGGGCCCCCGGGGCGGGGGGGCGGCUGCGCUUGCGCGGGAGUGUGUCGGGCUGAGCCGCAGCGCCGAGACGCGGGCUGUUUGAUCUGGGCUGGUGGCCCUGGGCGUCGGUCCUGUUCCCCGAUGGUAACCCGAAGUUUGUUUUUUUUUGUUUUGUCUCCCCGUUUUAGAAGCAUUGGGGGCAGUGAAUCCACUGUCUCCCUCUGGAUUGUCUCUGCAGAGACCGAGAAGAAAUCCAGGGACAGCCCCACCCCUCCUUCCUAACUGCGAGAGCGCUAUAGGGUUUCCACUUGCUUCCCACAGGAAUGCUGGCCUGGGAGCUACGGCGGAAAAAAAUGCGUAUUUAUCUUUUAAAACUCCGUCUGUUUGCUCGUUCCGGCUGAUAAUUUAUACUUUGCGCAGUUCUUAGCGCUUAGACACGGUUCCUUUACUAAAGACCAUUUGUAGGAGAUUAGGUGUCCUUUUUUUCCCUUUCAUUUCACCGUCUAGGAAGCGAAAUGCCUUGUUCUAUAGGCACUAAACCACCACCCCUACCAAACCUUUCUCGGGGAAGCAGAAGGGGAACUUGUGCCUUGUGAGGAAGCGACAAAGGCCCCUUCUGGCCCUGGAGACUUCACGCCAAUGGAGCACCAGCUCUCUGUCCUCGCAAUAGCCCGAGUGCAGGCAGAACGCAGUCAUUUGUGUUUAUCUGAGAGGAGCUUUGGGAUAUAAAUAGUUUCAGGCCCCGCUGCGCUGUCAUUCCAGCCCAGCCUCCUGAUUGAGCUGCUUCCGGGCGGGCUUUCUUCUUGUUGGCGGUCCCAUGCUGUGUUCAGAUGGGCUCUGUGACAGGUUUGGAUGUUUUCUAUCACUGAAUAAAACUUUCCACUUUGGAACAUAUUUUCUACACUCUAUUAUCUCAUGUAAGUCCUGCAACAACUAUUAAGUAGGCCCAUUUUAUGGACUGAAAAAGCGAGGCACAGAGUAUUUGCCCAAGGUCUGAGUCACUGAAGUAUGAUAAUGUGUGAAGUGAACAGUAUAAUAAUAAUGACUGAAGCACAGUAAGAAUCCAGUCAUGCUUUCUCCUUCCCUGAUCUCACUAAGCCACACUUUUAGGGGCUUACAAACCAGUUCUUAUUGCCAAGCCCUCUACUCUACCCUAUCCUUUCAUGAAUCGGAGCCUAGCCUCUGAUAACAUAAAUAAUUUACUUCUCUUGAUGUAGAAAGAGAUGACGUUGUUACCCUGAGUGACAGUCACGACAGAACAAAACCACAAGACCAGACCACAUUUGUGGAUAAAUAUAUUAGCAAAUAAAUAUAUUUCUUAACAUAGUGCCUGAUUCAAGCGUCUGUCUGGUUCAGAUAUAAAUACCCAUGUGGGUACCUAGGUGCUAGUCUCCCCACUAACUGAGGGAAAAAGGUUCCCAGGUGGGGUCCUCUGCCCACUUUGCCACCACAUUCACAUUCCAAAUGGGAUAAUGCCUGAGGGGCCAAGAGUGGUCAGGCUGCCCUGGGGUGAAUGUCACCCUGAUGAGGCCCAUCAGCUCUUGUCCACUCAGUGAGGCCAGACUUGUGCUCUAAUCCACUCUCCUGUGGGUCCCUGGCCUGUAUGGCUUAUACUGGGGAGCUGGGCCUCUGGGCUGUCCAAACCCAAGGGUCACACUUUGCUUUUCCUUUGUUGUCCCCAUUUUCCAUCCUUGCUCUAAGACAAAACUUUUCCCAGAGAAGAACUCUUUGUUGUCCCCGCUCAGCUGUAAUUCUGCCUUUUCUACCUUCAUUCCAUCCUUCCUCUGCCCAGAUAAAGUCCAGCAGAAAUUCCUCCUUUCUACCUCUCUGGGACUCUGAGACAGGAAAUCUUCAAGGAGGAGUUUUUCCCUCCCCACUAUUCUUAUUCUCAACCCCCAGAGGAACCAAGGCUGCUGUACCCACCUCAGGGACAGAACUCCACACUAUAGUGGGAAAGCUUCAGGGACCCCUCCUUUUAGUGCUCAGGGCUCACCUAUGCUACUGGUCCUUUUGGCAAAAAAGGAAAAUGAUAGAGCCAGGGUUGCCCCUGAUGUAGCAGCCUUACUGUGGAGGGGCCAAAGCUGGUGUUCAGAGCUCACCCAAGGAGGGAGGUGAUAAGGUGUCAUGCGUUCUGCUGAACCCACUGGCUGGUAUGAACAUGAGGCUUGGGGUGAGGGAAACCAAGUAGGGGUUGGAGAAGGAGCAGCACCUUUGUAACACCUGGCUACCCAUAGCUAGCUUUCUGCCCUCAAAAACUCAGCCUUCAAGGGAUCCAGCCCACACACGCCACAGGCAGCAGCUGGUUGCCUGGCUGGACAUGGAUUUGCUGCACUGCAGAUGUUUUCUGCAGACAAGGUCUGGAGCUGGAGCAGGAAACGGCACCCUCUCACCCUCCACCAUCACCAGUCCUCUUCCAGUGCUUCUAGGAAGUACGGCAAAAAGAAUGGUGUUUGCUGUGGUCCUUUCCUUUCCCAGGAGCAGGACUCUGUGCCAGGUAGGGCCCAAACACAUCUGGAGCACACUCUUGGUUGGAGCUAGGCCUGAACAUCUCACACAGCCUGUUCACACAGCUCCUCGAGUUCCUCCUCUGAGCCUGUAUUUAGAGAGCGGGGAGGAAAGAGGUCAUUGAGGGUCAGGCCAGGGACCUGCUUCUCUCGCCUGCAGCAGAGUGUGGCUGAGAGGGGACCACAGGGAGGGAGAAGCAGAGACUGUCUGGAAAGGGUGGUUAGAUUGAAAGCUAAGGGGGCCCCAGUUGGGACACAGGGGAGAGAAAAACAAAUCUAAAGAAAUAUAUAUAGCAACCAGUGUGUUACCAAUACUUACUAUUCAUUUAUUCACCCAAUAAAUAUUAAGGAUUCGUUGUGAAUUUGGUCUGCUACCACGUGCCAAAUAGAAGACCAAAAAGAAUAAGCAGGGACCUGGUAACCUUUUUGGAGAGAAAGUAUGAAAACAAAUGGCCAUUACGCCAGUGGGACAGGACAGGAGUCACGAGAGAUGCAUUAAGGAAGGAGAGAGACCAGGUCCAAGUGCAGCAAUCAGGAAAAGCUUCCUGGAAGUGGGGAUAAAUGAGCUGAUUCUGUAGGAAUAGGUAAGAAUUAGAUUUAUGGGAAUAGAGAAGGCAGGAGAAUAUUCUGGGCUACAGGAACUACAAGAAUUGUUUACCCAGUUUGGCUAAAGCAUGGGCCUGGGGAAGGGAGGGAAGAGAAUAGAAAAUAAGGUUGAGAAGGAAGAUGGGGGCUGGCUGGUGCAGGAACCUUUGAGGCCAAAGCAGGUUGGAUUUUUCCUCUCUGUGGACAAACAGAACAUUUGAAGAUUUCUGGACAGUUUAGUGUAAGGCAGAUGACGCUGGCAGCAAUAGGGAGGGUAGGUGAGCAGUGGAGCUGUGGUGCACAACUUUAUGGGACAUACUGGAUGGGCAGCACUCAGCCUUCGAGGCCCUGUAAGAGGGAAGGGAAGAGCUAGGAGGCUCCUGCAUGGAUCUUUAGGGUAUACCUAAGACACUGGCAGGGCCAUCAGUACUGGACUUGAAAAGAACAUGAUAAAGCUAGCCAAGAUACAGUUAACAGAAUCUGGCACUGAUUAGAUGUGAAAGGCAAGAAAAAGAGAGGCACUGAAACUAGUUCUGAGUUUGAGAGAAAAGGGAGAUAGUGGUGUGGUACUGGCAGCACUCAAAGUACACACACAAUAGGGUCCGAAUGGAAUCACAAACACAUAGCCAAAGCUUGCAGUACAUGGCUCUCUCCCCAUGGACCUGGAUGUCCUGAUUGGCAAGUUCCAUGUCUUCAGAGCCUAGCCUGGAACCUAGCACAAAGCAGGCAUAUAGUCAGAAGGAAAAAAAGGAAGGAAGGAGAAAGGAAAUGAAUAAAUGAAUGAAUUGGAUGAGGGCAGCUCCUAGGUCCUGCAGGAAGAAUUCCUACACUGAAGAAUAUUUCAGGACCUUUGUGUCACCUCCUGGGUUGGAAGGGUUCUAGUGAUGGCUGUAGACAAAGAACUGUGUCAUCCAUACAAUGGGGGAAGAUGGGGAAGAGUAGAAGGUGGAAGGUCCUGAAUGGAAAAGAGAGAUAUGUGGGCAAGUAAACACCAUGUUAAAGUUGAGAAUUUACGUGAUCACUGCUUAUGAUAUAGGGAUGCACUGAAUCCCCAAGAAAUUAAGGUCAGUCUUAUUAAUAAUGAUGUGUUGAAGGGAAGUCCUCCUUGUUCUUUUACCACAGGGGAAGAGAAGAAAACCUAAGGCUCCACAGGGCUGCUGGGAACCACCUGUGGUUUCUCUCUCUCUCUUUUUUCUCGUUGUUCACAUAGCUCUUCUUAUAUAGCCUCGUAUUAUGGUUAUGUGUAAUUAUUUCUACUAUAGCUCCCCCCGAGGAACACUUCUUAGCCUUCUUUGUAUUUAGAACUAAUACUGAGCUGUGAGCAUUGGUAGAACUAAACCAGUUAUUAAAAUUUAGAAACACUUAUGUUUGAGCUACUACCCCGGGGACCAUUCCAAAUGCCUCUUUUUUUUUUUUUUUUU
rnacentral:lncRNA from 1 species